AUUGAACGCUGGCGGCAUGCUUUACACAUGCAAGUCGAACGGUAACAGGUCUUCGGAUGCUGACGAGUGGCGAACGGGUGAGUAAUACAUCGGAACGUGCCUAGUAGUGGGGGAUAACUACUCGAAAGAGUAGCUAAUACCGCAUGAGAUCUACGGAUGAAAGCAGGGGACCUUCGGGCCUUGUGCUACUAGAGCGGCUGAUGGCGGAUUAGGUAGUUGGUGGGGUAAAGGCUUACCAAGCCUGCGAUCUGUAGCUGGUCUGAGAGGACGACCAGCCACACUGGGACUGAGACACGGCCCAGACUCCUACGGGAGGCAGCAGUGGGGAAUUUUGGACAAUGGGCGAAAGCCUGAUCCAGCAAUGCCGCGUGCAGGAUGAAGGCCCUCGGGUUGUAAACUGCUUUUGUACGGAACGAAAAGCCUGGGGCUAAUAUCCCCGGGUCAUGACGGUACCGUAAGAAUAAGCACCGGCUAACUACGUG
rnacentral:rRNA from 1 species